GCGGACAGAUGGGAGCUUGCUCCCUGAUGUUAGCGGCGGACGGGUGAGUAACACGUGGGUAACCUGCCUGUAAGACUGGGAUAACUCCGGGAAACCGGGGCUAAUACCGGAUGGUUGUUUGAACCGCAUGGUUCAGACAUAAAAGGUGGCUUCGGCUACCACUUACAGAUGGACCCGCGGCGCAUUAGCUAGUUGGUGAGGUAACGGCUCACCAAGGCGACGAUGCGUAGCCGACCUGAGAGGGUGAUCGGCCACACUGGGACUGAGACACGGCCCAGACUCCUACGGGAGGCAGCAGUAGGGAAUCUUCCGCAAUGGACGAAAGUCUGACGGAGCAACGCCGCGUGAGUGAUGAAGGUUUUCGGAUCGUAAAGCUCUGUUGUUAGGGAAGAACAAGUGCCGUUCAAAUAGGGCGGCACCUUGACGGUACCUAACCAGAAAGCCACGGCUAACUACGUGCCAGCAGCCGCGGUAAUACGUAGGUGGCAAGCGUUGUCCGGAAUUAUUGGGCGUAAAGGGCUCGCAGGCGGUUUCUUAAGUCUGAUGUG
rnacentral:rRNA from 1 species